rnacentral:rRNA from 1 species
CCUACUGGCGGCAGCAGUGGGGAAUAUUGGACAAUGGGGGGAACCCUGAUCCAGCGACGCCGCGUGAGUGACGAAGUAUUUCUGUAUGUAAAGCUCUAUCAGCAGGGCAGAAAAUGCCGGUACCUGACUACGAAGCCACGGCUAACUACGUGCAAGCAGCCGCGGUAAUACGUAGGGGGAAUGCGUUAUCCGGAUUUCCUGGGUGGAAAGGGAGCGUAGACGGUGCAGCAAGUCUGAUGUGAAAGGUCGGGGCCCAACCCCGGGACUGCAUUGGACACUGGUGAACUGGAGUACAGGAGAGGUAAGCGGAAUGCCUAGUGUAGCGGUGAAAUGCGUAGAUAUUAGGAGGAACACUAGUGGCGAAGGCGGCUUACUGGACUGUAACUGACGUUGAGGCUCGAAAGCGUGGGGAGCAAACAGGAUUAGAUACCCUUGUAGUC